rnacentral:misc_RNA from 1 species
CACCACUCAAGCCUCGCUUGGUAUUGGGCGACGGGGGUCCCCGCGCCUCAAUUUCGCCGGCUGGACGGAUCGUAUCUCAGCGUUGUGACAUCAAUCUCGCUGGAGAAACGGGAGGUUCGCGGCCGCCAACAAUCCGGACGGAAGUCCACUCAGG